UUCUUCUGUAGGAGUCGAAUUACUUUUCCUGAGAAACUCUUCUUUUGCCAAGCGAAGCUUGCUUUUUCUUCUGGAAAUCGAUCCUUCAAAUACAUGGUAGUGCCUCCAACCCUGUUAGCUGCUGAAAAAGAAGAAGCCAAAUCUGUGUUAUCCUUGUUCUUGAAGAAACAAGGUCUGAGCAAGGUAGUUGCUGCAAAAACCAUCAUUAAAUCAGAUCUUCUCAUCGAUCACCUUCUCUCAAGGCUUCAUUUUGUUCAUAAAUCUCAGUAUCUUGUAGGUUCGAUUGCAAUAUGUCCUGGUUUUUUUUGGCUAUUGUUUUCUAAGUGUUUUUGUUUCUAAUUCUUAUUUUUCCCACCAAGAAGUAGCCAAAAGCUGUCUCUCGAAUGAUUGAGGUUGGUGCAGUUUGUGAUUUAUGCCCUCAAUUCCUCUACCUCAUAGAGCUUGGCAUGGAUCUUGAGCAGAUCAAGUUUGCUACACGCAGAUAUCCUAGUUUUGCCAACUACAUCUUGGAGAGGAAAAUCAAACCACUAGUUGAGUUUCUUCUUGAUCUUGGGGUAGCUAAAUCAGACAUUCCCAAAAUUCUUGUCCAAGCGCCUGAUUUAUGCGGACUUAGUAUAUCUGGUAAAAUAAUACCCAUCAUGUUAUACUUAGAAGAUAUGGGUGUAGACAAGGACCAGUGGGCAAAAGUUAUAUACCGCUUCCCAGGACCCCUCACUUACAGCUGGCAGAAGGUUCAGGCAAUCGUUGAAUUCCUCUAUGAGUCGGGCCUAUCAUCCAAGAGUACAGGUAAAAUCUUGAAUCGAUGGCCAAAGAUUGUUAGUUCCAGCGUGGAUGAGAAUCUACGACCAACUGUUUUAGUUACAGAAUGAGAUCACGUUUUGCACUUGUCAAGGAGUUAGGAGUGAAAAUGGGGCUGGCUCGUGUGUUAGUAUGAUCACACUGUGACUUUGAGAAAGUCUUGAAGAUGAACAGGAAGAACAUCCUUGUUGACAAGGUUUCAAGUCAUACAGAGAGCAAGUAAUAUAAUCUUUUGUCAGGAACUGGAUUGUGUGGUUUCUCAGUGGAGUGCUCAUUUCGAUGAAGCUUCCCAAUGGUACAAUUUUCAGGCUUGACUUUAACAAGUUUGUUGGAGGCUUCGAGUGUCGUUUGCAAUGUGGUCAGUCCUUUUCAUCAAUUGUUUCUCUAUAAUCCUUGUCUGUACAGAAGUUUUCUCUUCUGCAUUACUCUUUCUUGCAAGUUAGUAUUCCAAGGAUGCAUGGAAGUGAAUUCAAUCAUUGCUGUUCAGAUAAGCCUCUCUUCCUUAUCAUGAAAAUUUUUUUGUUGCAAAUUGUUUUGCUACUUCAAUGUAAAUCUUAGAUGUAAUGGCUCUAGUACUUGUUCUGUUUUUCGAAGGUAAGGUUAAUAUUCUGAACAUUGAUCUGGCAAAAUGGUUCUGGUUGCUCAACAAGUGAUUGUUUGUUGGUUAUGAAUCUUUGCUAUAUUUGAAUUUAAGCUUUUACUGAAUUACAACUGUGAUGUUUUAUAUUAUAACUCUAUCGUUAAAAAUAUUACAUUCAACAUUGCAAGUUUGGUAUUUUAUACCACAAAACAUGCAGGUUUUGAGAUAAUGAGUAUGUAGACUUCAUAUCUUAUAUUAAAACUUGGAGCAUCACUGCAUUUAAACAGCACAGAUUAUGAAUAGUAUAUCAGCUGAGAUACAACUGAGUCUUUUAAUACUAAAUGUUGAAGUCCUUGUUUUAAUAAAAAAUCGUGAUGGGAAGCAAGCUGGCUAAAUGCUAAUACAAAAUCAAGUUUAAUCAAAGAUAAGACCCAUUGAAAUGUCCAAGUGAUAAGUUUGUUGACAUGUCUUGUUAAAUGUUUGCUUUAGUGACAUGAUGAUAAUGAAGGCACUUACUUUCUCCAGUAAUGGUUUUAUUUUCUUUAGUCAUUAAGUGGGAAAACGAAAUAUCAUGUUACAAUAUCAAUUUUAAAGUGAGUUGUAUUAUGUGGAUUUAUAACAAUUGGUAUCAGAGUAUGUACUAUUCGAAAGGGUGAUUAACUAUGUUAUGUGUAGCUGUUCAUGCUGUUUGCUUUUGAAUUGAUGAAUAAGUGUUUCUGCAUUUUUUUUGAAAUUGUUCAGAUUGUGUUUCUGGGAUUGGGAGAAUCACCAAGAAUCUUUUAGUAAGAUAUUUUAACGAGGUUGAUCUUCUUGAGCUUGUGUCUCAUUUCUUAGAUGCUGCUUGUGAAAAUUUAGCUUCUGAAAAUCAUGUGGCCUCUGAUACGCACAAGGUUGCUAAUGUUUUUUGUGUUCCUCUUCAGGGGAUACUAUAAAUGUAGCAGCAUGAGAGGCUGUCCUGCAAGGAAGCAUGUGGAGAGGUGCUUGGAAGAUCCAUCCAUGCUUAUUGUUACCUAUGAAGAACAUAACCACCCGAGGUUACCAUCCCAAUCGGCAAACACAUAAACCUCAGGGAAAGCUACAUCGGAUCACUUCAAGUCAUUGGUGUUCAAUUUAUUGGAACCUUAUUUAUGUUUGGCUUGAAUUGCUCAUGGACAUAUUUUUGCAAUGGCUCAACUUCAAUCAUGGGACAUACUUGGAGUGGUUUUAUCUUGGCUUGGAGAGCUGGCUUUCCAUGACUUUUUUUUUCUUUUUUUGGAAUGUGGCCGUGGGCUUCAUUUCCGUGUGCCGAAUCAAAGCAAAUGUGGGAUUGGGGUUUCAAAGUGUAAGAACUUUUUCAUCUUUAAAAGGCAAUUAGUGCUUUAGACAAGUUAAGAAUUGUGUUGCAACGCAUGAAUGAUGUGAAUGUGUUAAUGACAACUUUAGGAAAAAAAAUGCUCUGUUAGGAGGGCUACAUCAACUUUUGUUCUUUUUCUUGGAAGAUCUCAGCCCCUGGAUUCCAAAUCCAAGGGCUGAGCUGAA